rnacentral:rRNA from 1 species
CACGUAGGGUGCGAGCGUUGUCCGGAAUUAUUGGGCGUAAAGAGCUCGUAGGCGGUGUGUCGCGUCGGCCGUGAAAACCUGCAGCUUAACUGUGGGCGUGCGGUCGAUACGGGCAUCCACUGGAGUUCGCAGGGGAGACUGGAAUUCCUGGUGUAGCGGUGAAAUGCGCAGAUAUCAGGAGGAACACCGGUGGCGAAGGCGGGUCUCUGGGCCGAUACUGACGCUGAGGAGCGAAAGCGUGGGGAGCGAACAGG